GCUAUCUCUCAACGGAUUCAUCACAAGGUAUCUUCCUAUCCUUAGACCCCUCUUUUGAUUUGAUAGCCUUCUGUGAUUCUGAUUGGGUGGCUUGCAAAGAUUCCCGGUGAUCUGUCAGUGGUUUCUUUAUCAUGCUUUGUGGAGCACCUAUUUCCUGCAAGUCGAAAAAGCAAGCAUCAAUUUCCCUUUCCUCUGCAGAAGCAGAGCAUAGGUCUAUGAGAAGAGUGAUAAUAGAAAUUACCUGGUCGGUAGGACUUCUUGCAGAUCUGUCUUCUCCAUCUUUACUUCCCGUUCCAAUUCACUCCGAUAGUCAAGCCUCCAUACAUAUCGCUCGUAACCCUAUUUUUCACAAGCGGACAAAGCACGUUGAGCUUGAUUGUCAUUUUCUCCGCCAACAGUACCUCUCAAGCUUGAUUACCCUUUCUUUUGUCCCAUCUCACCAACAGCUUGCAGAUUUGUUUACAAACCCCUACCUGGUGCUUCUUACAAAG
rnacentral:lncRNA from 1 species